CCUACGGGAGACAGCAGUGGGGGAUAUUGCACAAUGGGGGAAACCCUGAUGCAGCGACGCCGCGUGAGUGAAGAAGGAUUUCGGUAUGUAAAGCUCUAUCAGCAGGGAAGAAAAUGACAGUACCUGAACAAUAAGCCCCGGCUAACUACGUUCCAGCAGCCGCGGGAAUACGUAGGGGGCCAGCGUUAUCCGGAUUUACUGGGGGUAAAGGGGGCGUAGACGGUUUUGUAAGUCUGGAGUGAAAGCCCGGGGGCCAACCCCGGGUCUGCUUUUGAAACUGUGGAACUGGAGUACAGAAGAGGCAGGCGGAAUUCCUGGUGUAGCGGUGAAAUGCGUAGAUAUCAGGAGGAACACCGGCGGCGAAGGCGGCCUGCUGGACUGAAACUGACGUUGAGGCUCGAAAGCGUGGGGAGCAAACAGGAUUAGAUACCCCGGUAGUC
rnacentral:rRNA from 1 species